CUCCUGUGCUUGCUGCGGGCAAAUAAAGUGAAUGUGCGUAUCGAUACCGCCAGCCGUGAUAAUCUUGCCCUCACCCGCAAUGACAUCCGUGCAGCUGCCAACUACCAUGUUGGGCGUGACAUUCUCCAUGACAUCCGGGUUACCCGCCUUUCCAAUACCCACAAUAGUGCCCUGCUUAAUACCGAUAUCCGCCUUGUAAAUGCCCGUGUAGUCAAUGACCAGCGCAUUCGUAAUCACUAGAUCCAGCGUAUCGGAAUCCGGCCGACCUGACGCCUGGCCCAUUCCUUCUCUGAG
rnacentral:sRNA from 1 species